rnacentral:rRNA from 1 species
UACGUAGGGGGCAAGCGUUGUCCGGAUUUAUUGGGCGUAAAGAGCGUGUAGGCGGCCAGGUAGGUCGGUUGUGAAAACUGGAGGCUCAACCUUCAGACGUCGACCGAAACCAUCUGGCUAGAGUCCGGAAGAGGAGAAUGGAAUUCCUGGUGUAGCGGUGAAAUGCGCAGAUAUCAGGAAGAACACCCGUGGCGAAAGCGGUUCUCUGGGACGGUACUGACGCUGAGACGCGAAAGCGUGGGGAGCGAACAGG